rnacentral:rRNA from 1 species
AUACGAAGGGUGCAAGCGUUGUUCGGAUUUACUGGGCGUAAAGCGUCCGUAGGUGGUUUGUUAAGUCAGGGGUGAAAUCCCGGGGCCUAACCCCGGAACUGCCUUUGAUACUGGCAGGCUGGAGCGAGAUAGAGGAAGAUGGAAUAUCUGGUGUAGGGGUGAAAUCCGUAGAUAUCAGAUAGAACACCAAUGGCGAAGGCAGUCUUCUGGAUCGUUGCUGACACUGAGGGACGAAAGCGUGGGUAGCAAACAGAAUUAGAUACUCUGGUAGUCCACGCCCUAAACGAUGCAUGCUUGUUGUUGGUUUCCUUCGGGGAAUCAGUGACGAAGCUAACGCGUUAAGCAUGCCGCCUGGGGACUACGAUCGCAAGAUUAAAACUCAAAGGAAUUGACGGGG